AUAGCUGCUUAAAAUGCUGUGAAUGUGACAGCCAAUAGUCCAGACUGCCCGCGUGGGGAAGGUGAUGGGAGAAAGCCAUGCGUAACCAGCGAAGAAGAUGAGUGCAAAAACAACACACUCGCAGACACAGGGCUGACACUGCGAGGGAAGGCGCAGACGGAAACGGCGCGCGCUACUCCACAAGUGACUGGGGAUACGCACGUUCCGAAUAUCGGGGACAAAAGCGCGCAGACACAGAGAGAGAGAGGGGGGAGUGCGAGAGAGGGGAGACGACGACGGACUGUGGUGCGAGUAGCGUUACCCUUGGGGGGUAAAAAUGACCGUAGUGCCCGGAGAAAACCUCGAUGAGACUGUGGCACUGUCCGCCCUGUCCCAAGAUGUCUAUGACCCAGAGCGAGCGGAUCAGGAGUGCUGCGAGAGGGUGGUCAUCAACAUCUCCGGGCUACGAUUUGAAACUCAACUGAAAACCCUCGCGCAGUUUCCCGCUACCUUGUUGGGGGAUCCAAGGAAAAGGAUGCGUUUCUUUGAUCCAUUGAGAAAUGAGUAUUUCUUUGACAGGAAUCGACCCAGCUUUGACGCGAUCCUCUAUUAUUACCAAUCUGGGGGGCGACUCCGGAGACCUGUCAAUGUGCCGGUGGACAUAUUCAUGGAGGAGAUAAAAUUUUAUGAAUUAGGGGAAGAGGUCAUCGAAAAUUUCAAAGAGGAUGAAGGUUUCAUUAAAGAGGAAGAGCGUCCAUUGCCAGACAAUGAAUUCCAACGUCAAGUCUGGCUUUUGUUUGAAUACCCUGAAAGCUCAGGACCCGCGAGGGGCAUCGCAAUAGUUUCGGUCAUGGUCAUUUUGAUAUCGAUUGUUAUUUUCUGCCUGGAGACCUUGCCCGAGUUCAGGGAGGAUAACAGACUGCACGAGGAUCACCUGGCUUUGAACAGAACGGUUCAAAUGAAGAAGCCCAAUCCGUUCACGGACCCCUUCUUCAUUGUGGAGACGCUGUGCAUCAUAUGGUUCUCCUUCGAAUUACUGGUGAGGUUUCUCGCGUGCCCCAGCAAGCCCGCCUUCUUUAAAAACAUCAUGAACACCAUAGACAUAGUGGCGAUUAUGCCCUAUUUCAUCACGCUCGGCUUGGAGCUCGCGGAACACCAGGGCAACGGUCAGCAAGCCAUGUCUUUGGCCAUACUGAGGGUUAUCCGCUUGGUGCGAGUUUUCAGGAUCUUCAAGCUCUCCAGACACUCUAAAGGCCUCCAGAUCCUGGGGAAGACGCUCCAGGCGAGCAUGAGGGAGCUCGGGCUUCUCAUAUUCUUCCUCUUCAUCGGAGUCAUCUUGUUUUCCAGCGCCGUCUACUUCGCCGAGACCGACGACCCAGAAUCUGGAUUCAGUAGUAUCCCCGACGCGUUCUGGUGGGCAGUGGUAUCCAUGACUACGGUGGGCUACGGGGACAUGUGCCCGGUCACAAUCGGCGGAAAAAUUGUCGGCUCGCUGUGUGCCAUCGCCGGCGUGUUGACCAUCGCGCUGCCAGUCCCCGUCAUCGUCUCAAAUUUCAACUAUUUCUAUCACCGGGAGACGGAGCACGAGGAGCAGUUUCAGUACACUCACGUAACGUGCGGGCAGCAGCAGCCCUCUUUCGGAGAAUUUAGAAAGAGUGACAGCAAGCCUUCCCUCACCAAAUCAGAGUACAUGGACUCAGACGAUUUCGAUGCAAUAAAAUACACAAAUUGUAGCCCGCACAAAGCGUACACGGGCAAGCUGACAGAUGUGUGAUUGUAGACAGCGCGGAAAUGGACCCAGAGAAAUGUGCGUUUCUUGUGAGUACAUACCCCCCAUUCGGCACUGUUGCUUAAUAUAAAAGACGCCUCAUUCCCACCAUUCCUGACUUAAAAAAGAGGGUUUCUACGACAGAAUCAUAUAAGCAGGAUUACAGAGACGCGUAUUGUUCAUUCUCUUUUCACUGUCUUCCAUUUCCUGCAACCGCGUUACUCAAUGCGUAAAGUUGGCAUUGAACCCCGAAUUUAGCAACUGAAAUCAACCUCAUAUCCAUUAUAUGCCUAACCUCUAAUUGUAGCACUUUAUCAUCAUACUCUUAGUAAUGUAGGCUAUAAAGUACCAUGUCUAGUUGUGUCAUUUGGGGAAGUUUACAUACGGUUUGCUUAUUUAGCGAUAAUAGCGAGAAAAGAGGACCAAUCAAAACCAAUCAAGCAAUGUACGUGAAUGCUACUCUUCACUUGCGGGCAGUGCAAUUAAUUCCACAAGGUCACACGGAGAGCCGACCCUCCCCUUUGUUUUCCUCUCGUCUGCUUCGGUCACGUAUUUUCCACCGCUGCCACAAGUGCAGGCGUUAUCCGCGCAUUAGUUAUGGGGAAUUAGAGGAGUUGGACGGGUCAGUGCAGCCAUUCCAUUGUCUUUUAUAGCUGUAGCCGGCGCGUGUCCUCUGAAGACCGCGCGCAUCGCCAUCCAAAAACCAGCUGUCACCGGAACGUGACGAGCAGUCAGCAGCCUCGCCAAUACUCCGGCUUAAUGGUUCGUGGCAUAAAUAAAAUAACCAAAAAAAAAAAAAAAAAUCAAAAUGACGACAAUUUGCUUUUCAUGUUGAUUAAAAGCACUUCUGACACAGAUAUUAACUAAAUUAAUAGAUUAUACCAUUAUUAUGUCGUUUACGCACGUUGCAGAGGAAUUUUACUUCAUGUGAAUAUUCCCGUCUUGUCGCCGAAUGUAGACAGUAUAUAGCCUGUGGUACACUGAGACAGCGCCAAUGAUAACAUAGAAUCUAUAUAAAUUGCAAUUUAUUUAUUCUUAAAUAAACAUAUUGAUGAGAUUAUAAACUUGAUACGGGGAUGUGCGCCAUAUACUGUUAGUUCCAAUUCGGCUGGCUAAUUUUAUGAGAUUUAUAAACCAGGGGUGCCACUGUGUGGCUGAACGCAAGUAUUGCAAAAUGUCUCUGAAGACGAUAUGUUUCUAUGGCAACCUUCCAGACCGUUCUACAUCUUUGACGCUGGCAAGAGCUUGUUGCCUUUAUAAGUUAGCCAGCAGGCUGCGUAAUGGAAGGCUUAAAAUAAUCGUUUAGCAAACGUGAGUACAGCCAGUGUAAUCAAGCAUGCUGAUAAACGUGGACACGGACAUGAUGACCUGUCACCUUUAAUGUUUUAGGGACCCAUCUUACAGCAUCUUCAAAAAGACAUUAAAAAAUAACUACUUAAAACGCAAAGCAGGGGAAUAUUUUGCGUAAUUGUACAAAACACCUACUCCAAAGAAUAUGCUAUUCAAGUGAAUGGCAUUGAUUUAAGCUAACAUUUAUGGAAACUAAAGACAAACGAACCUAGCUAUAUGUAGACUAAUGGAAGGACGUAAACUGAAAGUGCACAAUGUCCCCAAGAGGCAAAUGGUGGUAAAUUAUGGGGCAGAACCAUACCUCUCUGAAUUUUUUUGGUUUAACACACCUGUGUCCGAAAUCAUCCAAUGCAAAAAAGAGAGACAACGGAAUAUCCUGGAAAUAAGUUAUUCACCCAAAACCUGUUUUGCUGCAUCGUCAUUUAAAGAAAUAAGGAAUAGUAUUUUUUUACAUGCCCUUUGCUGUGGCGCAAGGAUGACAAACUCGGAUUCCGAUUGGCUGCAUUGAGUGUGGCGGUCACACGUCACGGUACAUUGCAAAUGGUGCGACCACGAAUGCAAAUGAAGCGAACGCAAAGACCUGGCCAUGGCACUUGAACUCUGUACUAAUGUCUUCUGACGUUUUUGGAUGGGAAUGUGACGUUCACAGUCUACCCAAGGAAACGCCGCGACAAUCCUGCAUGGAGGUGAGCUUCUAAUUAAAUACCAAGUCAAAUAAAACCUCUUUCAGGAGGCAGGUCCGCCGACACGCUCAGUCCGACUCAUAUAUAUUAACUGAAUACCAGAUCAUAAUUUCUGUUAAAAUACCGACACCAAUUUAUCCAUGAGAUAACGGUAUGUACAUGCAAUCUACAAUUAUUAUUACAUAGGACAACAGUUUGAUGUAAUGUCAUGGCUAACUGCAUUAUACCGUAAUGUGUGCAUGCAGGUGUGCAAUGAGUAUUGCUUAUGGAUGGGGUAAACUCAUUUAAGCCAUCACAUUUUGGGGAGUUCUCUAUCUCAAAAACAUGGGACAUAAACUCACAAAGCCACAGAGCUCACGAUGUAGAUUUUCAAGAUGGUUAUCACACAAGCUUUAGAAUCUAUGAAAGACAGACCUAUUAUGACAUAACAAUAAUGAGUUGCCUAUCCUCAGGAUAAUCAUUUUGGUAAUGUAAAGGUUUACUUGGUAGGCUAUAGCAUGAUCCCCAGCGAUUGAAUCGAAACAUUUUCAAAUAAACUUUAUGAGCCAUAGUUGUCACUUUCAUUGCUAAGGAGAGAAAUGAUUUUUCAGCCAAGAAAAAAAACAAUAAUAAAAUAUUGCUUGUAAGCAAUUUAACCGGGGGUUGAAAAUUUACCCAAAUGAACAAUAUUCAGACAUACAGAGAGCAAUUUACUCUUGUUAGAGUUGCCAGGGAGCAUCUGUUGUCAUUACUACCCACCGAAUCCACUGAUUUAUUAACUUCAGUAUUUUCGGUUCAGAAAAUAAGCAACACAAUGUAAAAGACCUCAGUUUUAGUCACAGGCUGCACAUUAAGAAGCUUGGAUGCGUUCGAACAAUAUCACAAACACGUCAUUAAAAUAACGAAUGUCCUCACGCAAUAACAAGUCAUUGGAAAUUAGAUACGACCGGUCACUCACAGAAUGAGUUGUCAUACUGAGAGAGAGACACUUGGGGGCAAUGUCUGCUUAUUCUAUACACAAAUUGAGGACACAAGAAUAUUUUAAACAAAAUUAUUGUACCAUUUGUUCCCGUUCAGUAAUCACAAAAAUUCUGUUCAUAGUCCUGGGAAAAUAUUAGCAGUAAUAAGAAAGACCAUGGUAAUGACAAGAAGAAUACAAAUGUUGUGAAAAUGUCUUAAUGCUGAUUUUGAGAUUGUAUAUCUUGGACAGAGAAUGGAGCUGUCCAGUUCUGUUUAUUCAUUACGCAUGGCUAACACUAGGAUUCAGUAAAUAUUUAAAAUAUAAUGAUACUACAACUCAUAUGACUUUACACACCUCUAAAUUAACUCUGUUAAUCAAAAUUUACAUGGAAAAUAAUUCUAUUAGAACCGUUUUGGAAAUUUUAGGUGUACAGCCAUUAUAAGUCUGACUAAUGAGAACAAGGCGGUGUUUACCUCUCCAGCAUCCACCUGUAACUCCAGUCAUAUUGAGUGAAAGGAGUAGAGGGUGGGUUCUGCUCUACGCACCGUGAUAAACAUGUGGCACAUCCAGCCACAAACAAUUUUGAGGGAAUGAUUAAUGAAUUUACCUUCCCACAGGAAAAAAGAACAAAAAAACAAAACAUGCCUGUUGGAAUGGCUGGUGAAUAUUACUAAUUCACCAAUCUGUUGCCCACUUAAUAGUAUAUUAAUGCAUAUACAGUAUAUGUGUAUGAUGGCAGUUUCCAUUUAACCCUGUUUUAUUUAAAAAAUGAACAGUCAGACGUGAAUGCGUAUGCAGCAGGCAGCAGGUGUGUCUGCAGUGAGGCGGGCUCUGUGUUUACUGUGAAUAUUGGCCUACCAGCCUCCAGCUGCACGCCAGGGUCACUGGAGGUUAAUGUGACUGUCAGGGCCAGGUAGUGUGGCCGUGUAAUGAAAGAGGAGCAAUGGGUUAUGUCGAUGGAUCCAAAAUGGGGGGAGGAGGGGGGGCAGGAGGGAAGUCCCUUCUCUUUGUCUUAGUGAUGAGUGCAGUGGUCAGCUCAGAUUAAGAUAAGGAAGUUAAGAAGCUCUGCUCUAUCAGUUAGUCCCUAACGAACUCAUCACUGGCGUCAUUUGUAUUUUAAAUAGGUUGUGUUUACAUUUUGAAUAGUCAGUCACACAGCUUUGCAGUGUGCAAUCCACAUCUCUAAUCCUGUGAUUCUGUUUCACUCUUUACCUCAACCAUGCUGGAGCAGGCCAAUUAAUCAAACCACAUCUCUAAUCCUGUGAUUCUGUUUCACUCUUUACCUCAACCAUGCUGGAGCAGGCCAAUUAAUCAAACCACAUCUCUAAUCCUGCGAUUAUGUUUCACUCUUUACCUCAACCAUGCUGGAGCAGGCCUAAUUAAUCAAACCACAUCUCUAAUCCUGCGAUCUGUUUCACUCUUUACCUCAACCAUGCUGGAGCAGGCCUAAUUAAUCAAUCCACAUCUCUAAUCCUGUGAUUCUGUUUCACUCUUUACCUCAACCAUGCUGGAGCAGGCCUAAUUAAUCAAACCACAUCUCUAAUCCUGUGAUUCUGUUUCACUCUUUACCUCAACCAUGCUGGAGCAGGCCAAUUAAUCAAACCACAUCUCUAAUCCUGUGAUUCUGUUUCACUCUUUACCUCAACCAUGCUGGAGCAGGCCAAUUAAUCAAACCACAUCUCUAAUCCUGCGAUUAUGUUUCACUCUUUACCUCAACCAUGCUGGAGCAGGCCUAAUUAAUCAAACCACAUCUCUAAUCCUGCGAUUAUGUUUCACUCUUUACCUCAACCAUGCUGGAGCAGGCCUAAUUAAUCAAACCACAUCUCUAAUCCUGUGAUUCUGUUUCACUCUUUACCUCAACCAUGCUGGAGCAGGCCUAAUUAAUCAAACCACAUCUCUAAUCCUGCGAUUCUGUUUCACUCUUUACCUCAACCAUGCUGGAGCAGCCCAAUUAAUCAAACCACAUAUCUAAUCCUGUGAUUCUGUUUCACUCUUUACCUCAACCAUGCUGGUGCAGGCCUAAUUAAUCAAACCACAUCUCUAAUCCUGCGAUUCUGUUUUACUCUUUACCUCAACCAUGCUGGAGCAGCCCAAUUAAUCAAACCACAUAUCUAAUCCUGUGAUUCUGUUUCACUCUUUACCUCAACCAUGCUGGAGCAGGCCAAACUAAUCAAACCAUAUCUCCGAUUCUGUGCCACCAUCCCAAACCCCAAACUGCAGCCAGGCUAAAUUGUAGUCUUUUUGGCAUUUAGAAGAUGCGCUUAUCCACAGCAACUUAGAGAUUACACUUUUUCAUACAGUCGCAUACAUAAAGCUGAAUAUUUUACUGGCGCAGUUCAGGUUAUGCAGUUAGUAGCUUAAUUAAAACAUUUUUUGUGGUAUUUAAAAGCAGUAAUUGCAUAUUUGCACAUUUAUAGCGAAGUACUGUAAUAUUUUGAUAAUAUAUUUCAUUAAAUAUAUCUUAUUUAAUAUAUUCUCAGUGUGUUCUAUUUCAAAGGGUACAUUACAGCAAUAUGCAAAAUUAGAAUCCGACAAUCCAGUUGUUCCAACGUGUUCAUUAUGGAAGAGUCCCUGCUGCUGUUGUUAUUGGCGGCAGUGGCAGCGCCUCUGAUAUCAGCACUCUCACCCCGAAGAUUUAACUUGGGGUCGGCCCGAGCGUGCGCGCGCGGUAACCGUUGCUACGGUAAUCCGUUUUUUUUUAUUGCCGGUGCACAAAGCCCCCGAAGCCAUCCGUUAAUGUUGCAGGACAAGCUGUCAGAUGUCGUCUGCGUUCUGUUUCCCCACCGCUGCGCUGUCGAGUGUGGCAGGCGUGCCGCGGCGGGGCCAGAGAACCGCCACGCCGCGCCGCGAUGCGCUGAGAAGGUCAGCUUAUUUACGGCGGCGCGUGUGCAUCGAUUCCCGCUAAACCGGGGGGGACUUACGUCUCUCCCCCGCCUGACGAACGACCGCCGCGUGAGCGCUGACACCUCCACCCACCCCCCCCCCGAAUUUCAGCGGCACGGCCCGCCACCGAUAGGCAUCGCGCAGAACUGGAGACGCGGGAGAACAGGGGUUGGUGGCGUAGGCCGCUGGGUCAAACAGAGGCUUCUGGAGAGGUAGGGAACGGAGCACAGCAGUGUGUGGUUUGGAAGAAAAUAAAAAACACAAACAAACAAAUGUGAUUUUAACCAGCUUUGUUGUUGAUGAUGACUCAGCCACACUUUUCAAAUAUCACAUCUUAAUAUCGUGAGCUCAUUUCGUUUUCAUUCUGAAUUACUGGGUACUGCGCGACUGCCAAGUGAAGACUUGCUUGCGUGGUGGAAUUUUCAACUCUUGUCCAGAGGCUUUGCGUUUAGUCAUGUAAAUUCACAUGAAAAUAAAACAACAUUCUCCUGCGUGUGUAGAGUCAGGCUCAGACUGACUUCUGACCUUGAGUGUGUGUCGUAGCUGCAGUGCAGGGCUGAGCUGACAGCUCAUUGACGUUAAUGAGAGGGAAAUGUGACUGGGAGACAGGACUGAGGCCACUGCAGUGAGCAACAGCGAAAGGGGAGACAGCUCAGCUCCUGCGUCUCCAGCAUGAGCGUGCGGCUGAGAGAGAGUGUGUGAGUGUGAGAGCGUGUGUUUGUGUGCGAGCGUGUGUGUGUGUGUGUGUGUGUUUUAGCAUUAGCGUGAAGGGGACAGUAGAGAGAGAGAGCAGCCACAGUGUGGCAGUGUGGACAGGCCGCACUGAGUAAGUGGCAGCCUGGCCAGGAGCAAUACGGAAUCUGGAACACUCCAGUGCACUGUGAUGUCACAAACAUGGCUUCCCUGUGAGCUGCACUCAGAAUGCAUCUCUGCAGCCAGUAUGCACAACUGACUCAAAGCACAAUGCAAACAAAACAAAUCCAAAGAAGAAAAGCCACAUAAUCGUGUGACAGCCAAAACAGAAACUGGAUCAUAUUUCAGGCAACUCACGGUGUGAAUACACUAAUUAUUUGACUAAUAAAGAAAUGGCAAAACACAAAGAGGAUAUAAAAUGUCACGUUCCAUUUUUCUGGCACCCCCCACCCCCCAUAAGUAAUACAGGUUAGCGCAAAGACAAUUUAAUGCGACACUUAGUAGCUGUGGGCACAGGCGAUUCAAUAUGACAGCAGCGUCAGCACUCCCCAAAGGAGAGAGACUGGCGUCAACAGGGUGAGCGCGCCUUUGAGAACCGCGAGCCGAUCGCAGGGAAGUAGGACAGAGGCUAAAGGACCCGGAGACCUGCUCAGGAGGAGACUGGUAGCCGUGGAGGAGCCAAGAUGGAGGGCCUCGUUGGCCCCCAUGCUGCUGUCCAGAGUCGUGCUGGUGGAGCCUCUGGGCUUAAUUGGUGGCAGUGCUUACACGGCUGCUUCUCCCAACACUUCCAUCAGAAAUCUCAUUAUGUUAAAAAGAGAUGAGUCAGGGGUUCCAGAGUGAGUCGGCACUUUGAUCCUAAGUGGGGGGGUGGGUGUGUUGGGGGGGGUAGAGAGGGACAGUGUAAUCUGAAAUCAGCGCUGAUGGCGUUUUUUACCCCCCUGCCAGAAUCCCACAGCUCUUCUCGUUCGGUUGUUGCAGGGUGUGCGGCACAGCGAGGCGGCGGACUGCCCGACGUCAUGACAUCAUCGGCGUGUCAGAGACGCGCGAAAACCGGCGGGGAACGCGUCCCGCCGUCUCAUACUGUGGCACAACACCGUAAAGAACUGGGGGGGGGGGGACGAGGAUUAACCCCCUCCUGCAUCUGGAACAUUUCUGGAUAUCAACAAGAACGCAGGAAAGACCCCUCUUCCCUUCGCAUUCAGCUCCACACAACAACAACAACAACCACAACAACAACAACAGCAACAGCAACCACAACCACAACAGCAGCAGCAACAGCAACAGCAACAGCAACCACAACCACAACAACAACAGCAACAACAGCAACAGCAACAGCAACAGCAACAGCAACAAAAAAGACGUUUGCAAACACGACGCUCUGGAGAGGACUGACGCAUUGCGAGGCCUUCACUGUGGAACGAGGGAUUAAUCUCUCACUGGGACCCGGCCUGCAGCAGGGAGUAGGAUGCAGAAGGAUAACCAGCUACUGCGUGACUCGCAGAGAGAGAGAGAGAGAGAACUAAGAAUGUUGGUGCACAGAAACGGGGUCUUGUGAAGCUGCCGCAGGUUUUUUCAUUUUUAUUUUUUUAUUAUUUUGGAUUUCUCAAGUCCCCCCUGAGACCCGGCAGAAAAAAGCAUUUACAUUUUUUUUAUUUUUAAAAAAACUUUUUUUAGAUUUUAAUUUUUAAGUAAUGCAAGUGUCUUGACAAGAUGACAAAGACACAAUGCAGUACAAACGUAUUCAAAAAUAUUGUUCAUUUUAUUUCCAUUCAGUGACCCUGGUAGUGUAGGUUUUUAGCACGGUGGGACUAGUGGCCCCUUACAGGGGACACAGAUGAGUCACCGGGUCUUAAGGGGACGCAUGUUUCCCUGUGUGAUUACUGUUAUUACUUUGAUCAGAAUGCUGUAUCACUGCUCUUGAAGGCAUCUACCUCAGUGUCCACAUCGUCCCAUCCUCACGGGAGGCUGCAGCGCCUGGUCCUGCUGGGACAGCCGCGUGUCAGUGUGUGAGCAACGCUUCGUGCCGCUGGCAGCUACGCGGUGCCGUUUAUUUUGUGCCACCUGUCAGUUCAGUGCUACCAGACAAAUAAUGGGGGGGGAAAUAAAUUGCCUGACUGGUGAUGACUCAGUUACUGCAGCUACAAACGGGGAAAAGUGUGAGGUACUGAUAUAUCGUAUUGUUACAGUACAUAUUGCACUCAUUCAAAAUUAAUAGCAAUGUCAUUAUUAUUACAGUUAUGCUAAGUAUCAUGCAUUUUGAUCCAGCAAAAAAAAGAUUUGACAAGGCAAAAAAAAUAAAUAAUAAUAAUUCACACUGAUUUUAAGUGUGCAUUAUAUACUCACUCAUUUACAAACAAGCCAGUUUCUCAUUAGCAUCAUAAAUAUACAUCCCCCCACCCCCUCCACCCCCCUGCCAUCCCUAGUACCAUGCCAUACGAACCCACCCACACACUCACACAGCGGCGAAUGUUCGUGCCAUCUCACCACCAUCGACUGUGCUGCUGCCCCCCAGGACAGCACUCAGAGAACACGAGGAUGCAGACGCAGGAGAGGGGGAAAUGCACCGCAGACUGUGAGGAGUCCAGUAAGGGGAGCGCAAUACUACCCAGGCUGAGAGUCAACACGUUUCUAUCUAUUUAUUUAUUUAUUUUUCUUGACAUUAUCUUUUUCUCCACUCCAUUUCUAGCGUUGAUUUACAUGCAAUGAGAAUCGCCUGAUCACUUCUGAGAAAGAAAUUUGUGUUGAGAGAAGAUGCAAAUUUUAGUUUUCUAUUACUGGCACUAUUGUUAUUAUUUUUGUUUGUUUCGUAAGUGACCGUUUUCUGUCUGUUUUGUUUUUUGUUUUUUUGUGACCUAUUUUUGAUAAAUAAAAUUUUGCGUUCUUA